CGUGGGGCUAAAAGUGUCUGACAGGAAAAUCAAAGACUUCAGCUCUUCUGAGUUCAUGCUGCUUGUCUGUCUGACUCAGGAUUCCCUUGGGAGAAGCUUGCUUCUGAGUGUCAGAGGAAAAAGUCACUCUCUUUCAACACGUGAGUGGGCGGCAACAAAAGAAAAGCUACAGGCCGCUCUCAUCCCUGAGUGUGUCCCUGGUGAUCUAAAUGCGUCCCCGUUUUGGGCGGUUAAUGGAGGAAGAAUGUCAAAAAGAGGACAACGCAUCCCGUCUCCCCCCCCAUCCCUCUCGUGUCCCACACACAAGAUAAGGAGAUGCUGUAUGCCAGGCUAAUGUAAGCCCUCAAGACAUACUCACCAUUUCCCCCUAAUGUUCCACCUAUUAGUUAUUAAUGGAGUAGCUACAGACACUGAAAGUGACCUAGUGAACCUUGGGACUUGCUGCUGUGCCUGCCAUGUUUUCACUUUUGUAAAGCAGGAACAGUAGAUAUUAUCCCCAAUCCUGGCUUCCUAACUUUAAAAGACAUUGUUGGUACUAGGUUUGCAUCUGUCUUUCUUUGACAUAGCACACGAUGCAUACUUUAUUCUGUACACCAUCUCUCGCUUUAAAAAUUGGCCUUGCUGAGUAGAAAAGAUUACAGCUAUGUGGUGUAGCUAUGCGGAACAGUCCUUUUUGUUUCCUCACCCCGGGAGCACUUCAUCUGCGUACAGUAUUAUGAGGGAAGGUCAGGCUCAGGCCACAACGGACCUCUAUAUCUCUUUGCCAUGCUCUGCCCCGCCUCUCACUCGGUGCGUCCUCUCCUAGCCUGCUUUUUCUUAUCUGCAGCCCUCACACCUGUGGAUGGCUAGCCACUCUCUCCAACUCUUGCCAGAGGCACCAGACAGGAUGGUUGCAGAUAACCUUUAAAUCCAAGAAAAAAGGAUGGUUGGG
rnacentral:lncRNA from 1 species